AAAUCAUGAGUCAGUAUGUGCCAGCUGUAUUUAAGACCAAAGGCUUAAUGUAUCCACAUCUGGGGUAGGAGUCAGAUGUAAAACAAGCCCAACAUUGCCUUGGAAGUUCUAUAGGCAAUGGACUCUUUCGUGGCUAGAUUUGAAUCCCACGUACAACAGAAGCUUCCAAAUGCGUUGUUUGGCCACAAUGAAGAAUCCUUAUUGAAAUAUCCCUUGAAUGGCAUAAUUGAAUAGACGUAAUUGCAAAGCUCUGCACCAUGUAAAAUUAGAAAUGGACUCUUGUGUAUGUAGAUGAGAAGAACUGAGCAUGAGAGGGUGCUGAUAACAGGGGAUAUGGGCACCGCAUAACCUAAACAGACUUUGACACCACAACAAAAGAGAGACAGAUACUGUAGAACAAUGACAG
ensembl:lncRNA LINC02393 long intergenic non-protein coding RNA 2393